AGAAAAUAAAAUAAUUCACUACAAUAAGAAGCUAUACCUAGCAAAUUUAAAGGAAAAAAAAAGAGAAAAACAUUGUAAUCUAAUUGUAAUUAGGAGAUACUACCUAGCAAUUUUUUGUUGCAAAAUUAGUUAAAGGAUAAUGGAUAAUGGAUAAAAUAAGAAAUAUAAAGCAAUCAUAUAUACCUAUACCUUUAUAUAUAUAAACUAUGUUAUUGAAUUUCAAGAAGGUGGUGUACUUCACCUUUGUGGAGCUUCUUCCAUCUUCAGUUUGAAACUGAACAAGGCUUAUAUUAUUAGCUUAACUUGUCCUCUUUACCAUGCAUGAAAAAAUGAUAUUUUAAUAUUAAGCCAUUUUUCAAUGAUAAUUUCUCAUAAAGCUAGCUCUGAGUGUUUUUGUUUUAGUGAGUGUAACUAUAUAUAGACUUUGGAGAUUAAUCUCGUCCAUCUUAUAUAAACUUUAAAUAAUAUAAAAUAUAUAGCAGAUAUUUAUAAACUGAUGGGCCAAUGGAUAAUACAAUUAUAUCUCUUUUUAUUUAUUUAUUUAUUUUUUGUGUGGUGAAACAGUGAACACGUGCAGAAUUGGAAACAGACACAUUCUUUCACGGAAAUAUUUGCUGCCUUCAUUUGUCGGGGAGUUCCGGAGGAGAUUUGCGGGCUGGAAUGCAACCGAAUUUGCGGGCGGAGCUUAGUGCAGGGAUACGGGAGAAAGUUUGUGCAGUCUUAAUGGAAACGUUGCACGCAACUAUCCAGCAAAUUGAGGAGGCCGUGGGUUACGUUAUGAAGGGCGUUGGGAGCGACAUUCCGGGUGUUUAUACGGGCGGAGAUGCAGACGGGGUGGAUGUCAGCGUCCGACGGUCUGAGGAUGGAGGGUUGCGUGCGCAAUUGAACAAAAACACGGUACCGUGAAAAAGAAAUGGAGAGGACGCCUAAUUAAAAGUCAUCGUGGUGGCAUUGGCAUUGCAAUGAACAUCGUGGUAGGAAUUACUGCGGUGGAUGAGAUGGCAACCGCUAUGGUGGUGGAGAAUAUGGAGGUGAUGGUCACGGCAGAGUUCGUGGUGGUGGUGGAUUCAAAUGAGAAAAUGGUGGAAUAGAGCAGAUCAGUGGAAAAAACUGAGCGGCGAUGAUUUAGAGCACAUGCAGCAAGACUAGGAAAGCAUAGAGUACAUCAACAGCGAGAAGAAUAGAGCGAUGAGAUAUAUUUAUUUUCUGCUAUCGUUUUUCUUCUUUGAUAUGAUAAUAAUUCAAAACUUCAAUGUUGUUUAAUGUUCUAAUUAGCUAAUGUCUCCUUAAAAUCUGAUUAGGUAAGAAAGGCUGGUGGUGUCAGGUGGAAGUUUAUGUCUGAUGCUAUGAGCAAAGCAAUAACCAUAUCAAGUAAAGGCUGAGAAAAAUAAACUAGCAUAUGAGGAGGAUAUCAAGGCCUACAAUAAAGGAUUGAAUGAGAGCGAAGAUUCUGAUAAGUCAAAAUUCGAGUAAAUCGACGAUGAUGAAGAGGUGAUGGAGCUUUGAACUUUAUUUUCAAUUGUGAAAUAGAUUCUGACAUUAGUUAUUAUUAUUUGUUGUUAUUGUUUUUCAACUGAUGCUUGAGUUACUAUAUUUUUAUUCUUAGGCAUUUUAAUAUCACAAAUGAUAUUGCAUGGUUAGUACACAGAACAG